rnacentral:rRNA from 1 species
UGGGGAAUAUUGCACAAUGGGCGCAAGCCUGAUGCAGCCAUGCCGCGUGUGUGAAGCAGGCCUUCGGGUUGUAAAGCACUUUCAGCGGGGAGGAAGGCGGUGAGGUUAAUAACCUCAUCGAUCGACGUUACCCGCAGAAGAAGCACCGGCUAACUCCGUGCCAGCAGCCGCGGUAAUACGGAGGGUGCAAGCGUUAAUCGGAAUUACUGGGCGUAAAGCGCACGCAGGCGGUCUGUCAAGUCGGAUGUGAAAUCCCCGGGCUUAACCUGGGAACUGCAUUCGAAACUGGCAGGCUAGAGUCUUGUAGAGGGGGGUAGAAUUCCAGGUGUAGCGGUGAAAUGCGUAGAGAUCUGGAGGAAUACCGGUGGCGAAGGCGGCCCCCUGGACAAAGACUGACGCUCAGGUGCGAAAGCGUGGGGAGCAAACAGG